AACGAACGCUGGCGGCAGGCCUAACACAUGCAAGUCGAGCGAGGACUUCGGUCCUAGCGGCGGACGGGUGAGUAACGCGUGGGAACGUGCCCUUUGCUACGGAAUAGCCCCGGGAAACUGGGAGUAAUACCGUAUGUGCCCUUCGGGGGAAAGAUUUAUCGGCAAAGGAUCGGCCCGCGUUGGAUUAGGUAGUUGGUGGGGUAAUGGCCUACCAAGCCGACGAUCCAUAGCUGGUUUGAGAGGCUUAUCAGCCACACUGGGACUGAGACACGGCCCAGACUCCUACGGGAGGCAGCAGUGGGGAAUCUUAGACAAUGGAGGAAACCCUGAUCUAGCCAUGCCGCGUGAGCGAUGAAGGCCUUAGGGUUGUAAAGCUCUUUCAGUGGGGAAGAUAAUGACGGUACCCACAGAAGAAGCCCCGGCUAACUCCGUGCCAGCCGCCGCUGUAACAC
rnacentral:rRNA from 1 species